ACCCUCUCAAGCUGGGCAAAGAGACACCUUGGUGGGGAUGGUGUUCUUACAUCAGUCAGGGGCAGAGCAGAUGACAGUCCCUUGUUCAUCCUAGUUUGAUGCCUGGCUUGAUAGCCAAAGCUGUCUCAUGCCUAGGACUCAUAA
ensembl:snoRNA Gm23598 small nucleolar RNA SNORA48